AUGAACGCUAGCGGCAGGCCUAAUACAUGCAAGUCGAACGGUGUAGCAAUACACAGUGGCGCACGGGUGCGUAACACGUAUGCAACCUACCUAUCAUUGGGGGAUAGCCUUUGGAAACGGAGAUUAAUACCGCAUAAGACAGUAACAUGGCAUCAUGUAGCUGUUAAAGCUUCGGCGAUGAUAGAUGGGCAUGCGUCCAAUUAGUUAGUUGGUGAGGUAACGGCUCACCAAGACGAUGAUUGGUAGGGGAUCUGAGAGGAUAAUCCCCCACACUGGCACUGAGAUACGGGCCAGACUCCUACGGGAGGCAGCAGUAGGGAAUAUUGGGCAAUGGACGGAAGCCUGACCCAGCCAUGCCGCGUGCAGGAUGAAGGCGUUAUGCGUUGUAAACUGCUUUUUUAUAGGAAGAAGGAGACCUUGCGAGGUUUGGUGACGGUACUAUAAGAAUAAGCACCGGCUAACUCCGUGCCAGCAGCCGCGGUAAUACGGAGGGUGCGAGCGUUGUCCGGAUUUAUUGGGUUUAAAGGGUGCGUAGGCGGUUUAUUAAGUCAGUGGUGAAAGACGGUCGCUCAACGAUUGCAGUGCCAUUGAUACUGGUAGACUUGAGUUCGUAUGAGGUAGCUGGAAUGGAUAGUGUAGCGGUGAAAUGCAUAGAUAUUAUCCAGAACUCCAAUUGCGUAGGCAGGUUACUAAUACGAUACUGACGCUGAUGCACGAAAGUGUGGGGAUCAAACAGGAUUAGAUACCCUGGUAGUCCACACUGUAAACGA
rnacentral:rRNA from 1 species